GGGAGGGGUCACUUAUAUUAUAGCUACAUUAACAUUUUUUUCAGAAGGGCUCUCAUGUUAUUACUGAUACAUUUUUAUUAAAUAAAGCAUGUGAUCCAGAUCAUUUUACUCAGGAGUUUUAAUGUAUAUAUAAGUUACUACAAAAUUAAUGCUAACUAAAAAAAAUCUUUCAUCAUUAUACAUUAUGUUAUCUACGGUGAAACUUUAUAUAACUAAGAAAAUGACCACUGAUACUUUCCCAUUUAUUGAUAUUGAGUUGAAUUAAUAUUAAUUAGAAAAUAGUAUGUUCCAAGUGGUGAUUUUUUUUUCAUAAAAUAAAAUUGUUGUCUGCAUUUCAGAUAUUUCCUCAUAGCUGAUCACUCCACUGUAACAAACCUAUAUUAUCAACACAUAUAAAUGUAUAUUUCAGAUUGGUACUUGAAAGUCAAUGGUUUGAUCAUGAUGACCAUCUUUAAUUUAAUGGGGAAAGAUUAACCAAUAUUUGCAGCUGGAGAGGCUAUCACCACAGUUCAAUGAUUUAGUUAAGACAAUGAAAUAGAAGAACUUCAUGCUAACACUUGCAUCAGUGGAAGUACUUCUUAUUGGAUAGAGAACUUUACAAGGUCAGCCAUCAGCUUGUGAAGUUGCUUUCUUGGCACAUCAUGCUGUCCAGUGGAGUUCAUACCAUAUGCCAGGCCUUUAUACAUGGUCAAAGAAGAUGAAUUUGUUAUUCAAUUUGUGAAAUUUGAUUUAAGGAGGACUUUCAUAUAUGAUGAUUAUAUUCAGCAGAUUAUCUUCAAGUGUGCACUUCAUAGAAUCACAGUUUCUAGGAGGUUUUCAGUUUAAAGUUAGAUUAAUUGAAAAAAAAGUAAAACUAUCAUACUCACCAUGGCAUCGGCAUUGGCAUUACACCAGUUUUAAGUUUUUCUUACCAGUCCAUAUUUUCAAAUGACCUUUUGAAAGUAUUGAAACUUACAACAGUAAUUUAUCAUCAUUAUACCAUGUUUUAGGCAAAAGUACAUCACUCCAUCAAGGAAUUGACUGAACUAUGGCCCUUUGAAACUUUUGUCACUUGUUUAUAAUAAUAGUCUCUAUAGGCAAGAGUUAAUAACACUAUAGAGUAAUUUGGUUGAAUUAUGUCCCUUUUGGACUUUGAAAUUGGUUCAGUUUUUGUACAAGUCCACAUUUUGACAUAUAGCUUUGAAUCUUUCAACACUAAGUCUUACCAUUACAAUGAUAUAACUUAAAAUAGUUGUUAAACAUCAUCACCCACAUCAUAUAACACAAGAUGCAUAACUCUUGCACCAAAAUUUAAUAAAUUAUGCCCUUUUUUGCUUAAAAUGUACUUGUAUAGUGUUUUGAUACACUUUAUCUUUAUCUCUCAUAUUACAAAAUUUUUUAAAACAGACUUAGUUAUAUGCAAUAUCUUCAUCAGCCAUU